CGUGCGUCCGUUAUAGCUCAGUCGGCAGAGCGUGGUGCUGAUAACGCCAAGGUCGUGAGUUCGACCCUCACAUGCACGG